GUUACUCAUCCAUGCAGAACUGCUGCUUGAAACUCGCAGUUGAUGUUUCUCUGGUGUCUCUGCCUUGGCUUUGCAGAAAAUACAGAGCAGGCUCAGACUUGAGCUAGGAGUUGUCAGUGGGGAGUAAUACAGAGGUUUUUGAAGGCCAGUCUAGAAAUCCAGAUCUUGAGUAGGGCGUUUUCCUCAAGAUGUGUAACAAACAAACUAUAGACACGUGAUAGGAGGGAAAACAGUGGAGUAUGUACUGAACUUCAAUACAGUAUGUAUUGAAAUGUAAGCUGUAUAAAAUGCGCACCUAUGGGGAAACAAAAGUUAGUCCUUGCAUGAAUUCAGAAUAGCACACACUUGAUUUUUCGGUUUCUAUAGGAUUUAUUAAGUAGAAGCCUUUACUCCCAUUAGCACAGCAGAGUCAAGCUGCACAGGAGUGUGCUGGAAUCCUCUACGCAUGUCAAUGAGUGUGUCCUACCGACAGCCUCAUUUUACAACCUGCACUUUCUACUGAAUGGGUAGGGACAGCUCUUUUCUCUCUUUAAGUCUCGCAGUGUGCUUUUACUGCUGUCAAGUAAGGACAAAACCAUUUCUUUCAUCAGGAACCAGCUUCGAAAUGGGAAGUGUGACCUUUUUCUUGUAUGCUCUUGGAAGUUUUGCUUAAGCUGCUAACCAUAACUUGCUUCCUUCCCACCCCCUGUUCGUGUUCCCUGCAAUUAGGCUGCAGUUCAUCCUUAUCUUAGUUUCUUGCAGUGCUAUUUAGAAUAAUGCUACCUGUCAGUGUUUUAGGAGUGUGAAUAGAGCAGUGCAUAGAACUGUUCAAAUGGUAGCAGUUACUUCAAAGGCCAAAGGCGGUGUCUCCUUCGAGUGACUUCAUGACUACCUGGGCAAGUCAGACACAAAGCUCUUUCUUUAUUGCAGUUAUUUUCUGUUGAUCUCUUUCUUUGUGUCCUGUGGAACAGAACAGGCGGACAGACUCCAGCACUUACCCGCAGGUGGCAAUGGAGCUGCAGGCUGUGUCUCAUUGUUCAAGAAGCAUUUCAAGACAGUUUAUUUCUGUAGUACAGCAUGCCAUACAUUGAGUUAAAUGGGGAAAAGGGUAUUCUUUUAUCUCUCAAUGAGUUGCAGCCAAGAUCUGUAAUUGCCUUGCUCUUAAUGUUGCAUAACUGUUAGCAAGACUCAAGCCAAGCAUUAAUGAAUUUCAUCAGAACUUCAUUUUUUAAUGAGCAUCAUUAAUCGUUAGUCAUGCGUGCUGCAACCUACACUUCUCUAAAGUGGGGGUUUGCCAAUCGUCUUGCACUAUAAAAACAGCAGCAUAUUUUCCCCUGAUUUUAUCAGUAAAAUAACAACAUGAAAAGACUAAAAGACUGGAGCUAGGGAGAAAAAAAAAAAAAAACCUCCUUUAUUUGAACUUUUAAAUACUUGAGAUGCUCUCUGAAAGUUAGUCUGCAAUUUCUGCUUGUGAGCAGCUGCUGCUGCACUGCUUUCUUCUCUACAGGCUUUGAUAAUACUGUGAGAGCUCGUAUGAGAGCUGGUAGGGAUCUUACGUACCAAACUUGAGGGUUACACCUACCAUGGUUUCUUAAGAUGGAUUCACUGGGCUUCCUCUAGCUCUCGUUACAAACUCCCAUAAGUUUUUAAGGCAAAACUUCUUUUCAGCUUUGGAAAAAUGACAGCAAGUGAUCCACUGUCCAGUAUUUAUUCCUUAAGGUUGUGCCUAAAGGCCACAGAAGGAACAUCAGCUUCCUGACUGCUUUGAGCACUUGUCUGGAUUUAGCAAUUCAGGUGACUAGUCAGUGCCUCUCCUGAUUCGCUCCCCCAUCCCUCUGAGGGAGAGCAAGCGAAUGGCUCUUAACCUGCAGUUAAACCACACCAACAGCAAUACUUUAUUUGCACUGAACUGCCUUACAGCUCAUUCAUACUCCCUCUAUAACCAAGCGGAGCUGACUACUUGCAGAGAGUCCUUGGAGUCUCUCUCUGGUCUUGCUCCAGUUCCAGAAGAGUUACUGGAAGGGAACCAACAAUAUGUUGAAUUUGGUGUACCUGGUGGUAACAUUUCAAAGAACCAUCUCUGCUUGGAAAGCCACCAGGAGGAGGCCUGGCCUUCCCAGAAGUGCACCAACAGCAGCAAAGAGUCUCUUGCAACCACUUAGCUACCUCUUUCUGCUCCGCAGCUGGGAUUAAUGCCCAAUUCUGUGAGCAUUUUUCCUCUUCCUCCUGUUUGCUCCACUGCAAAGUCAGACAGCUUAGUAUAAACUCCCUUCAAAGAAGCAUUCCAGCUGCUGAAUCAGCUGAGAAGACAAAGAGCAAGGCUGGUGUGAAGCCCAUUCUGGAGCAGUGGAAACCAACAAAAUUAAAACAAACAAACAAAAAAAUAUAUGAGGAAUCUGCACACAGACCACCUAAAGUGUGCAGCGCUACACUGGGGAGACUUGAUCUGAUGCAGUCAUUUGAUACAGCAAAGACAUCCUGCCAAAUCUAAAGUCUUAUAAUGUCUAAGAGACUGGCUUUGUCCCUAUUCCUCUACCAUGACCAUGAAACACCUGUGUGGAUCGGUAGAAAGAAUGGGUUUGGUGUGAGCAAAGGUCAGCUGUGGAUUUUGGAUUUUUCAGAUGCGUGCUUCUGAAGCUCUCUAUUAACACUGUGUUUGAAUCAGUAGCUUCAUCUCAAGCUGUAAUACUUCUGCGCUCAGUUCGGUGCUUUGAUGGCAUUGCAAGCUACAUUCCAGCCUCUUAACCAUAAUCUGUGUUUUCUUGGCACUGAAUGUGUGAACAAAUUUGGGAUUUGCUGGGGUUCUUGGGGGAGAUGAAUUUCAUCCUGUAGGAGAGGAAAAGCUCAAUGUCAUUAAUAAUGGAAAGUCAUGUUAAAUUUGGAUGCUUGUAGUGGAAUUUUAGAUUAC
ensembl:lncRNA